GCUCCCCUGGCAGCCUUCUGACUGGUGGAUAGGAUGCUCCACGUGGUCACGUCCCCGAGGGCGUGGCUUUCCCGCCCAACACCGCCUCCACGGUGGUGCAGGAGAUUCCAGCGUCUGAGUACCUAGUUUGUGUUGGGCCCGCGAUGUCCACGGUCGGACCCUUUGCCACGCGACUGCAGUCCUAGCCUAAGGAAGUCUGAGGCAGAGUGUCACAAGCUCAAGGCCUGAGUGGACUAUAAAGCUCCAAUUCCUCAUGGUCUUCGGUUUCCAACAAAGAAAAGGAUGCUUCUUUGUCUUGGAGAACUGGAGAAAGGCUAGAGAGUUCACCAUUUUCAACAAGUGAAUUACAUUCUUUUGGGGAGAUUCCUGCAUUCCCAAGUCCUGUGAAAAGACACAAAUAAGACAGGUUCUGAUUUAUCCACUUCAAAAGAGUCGCUGAUUUAAUAAAGUGUGUUAUGUAAUUUUA